rnacentral:rRNA from 1 species
UACAGAGGGGGCAAGCGUUGUUCGGAAUUACUGGGCGUAAAGGGCGCGUAGGCGGCCUUCUAAGUCGAACGUGAAAUCCCCGGGCUCAACCCGGGAACUGCGUCCGAUACUGGAAGGCUUGAAUCCGGGAGAGGGAUGUGGAAUUCCAGGUGUAGCGGUGAAAUGCGUAGAUAUCUGGAGGAACACCGGUGGCGAAGGCGGCAUCCUGGACCGACACUGACACUGAGGAGCGAAAGCCAGGGGAGCAAACGGG